AACGCACAUUGCGCCCCUUGGUAUUCCGAGGGGCAUGCCUGUUCGAGCGUCAUUAUAAACCACUCAAGCCUAGCUUGGUAUUGGGGUUCGCGUGCCCGCGGCCCUUAAAAUCAGUGGCGGUGCCGUCUGGCUCUACGCGUAGUAAUUUUCUCGCUAUAGAGUGCUGCCGGUUACUUGUCAGAACUCCCCCACAUUCUUAGGUUGACCUCGGAUCAGGUAGGGAUACCCGCUGAACUUAA
rnacentral:misc_RNA from 1 species